rnacentral:rRNA from 1 species
AGAGUUUGAUCAUGGCUCAGGAUGAAUGCUGGCGGCGUGCCUAAUACAUGCAAGUCGAGCGGUAAGGCCCUUCGGGGUACACGAGCGGCGGACGGCUGAGUAACGCGUGGGAACAUGCCCAAAGUGAGGGAUAACGCACCGAAAGGUGUGCUAAUACCGCAUAUGGUCUUCGGAUUAAAGGAUUUAUCCGCUUUGGGAGUGGCCCGCGUACGAUUAGAUUGUUGGUGAGGUAACGGCUCACCAAGUCGACGAUCGUUAACUGGUCUGAGAGGAUGAUCAGUCAGACUGGAACUGAGACACGGUCCAGACUCCUACGGGAGGCAGCAGUAAGGAAUCUUCCACAAUGGGCGAAAGCCUGAUGGAGCAACGCCGCGUGCAGGAUGAAGGCCCUCGGGUCGUAAACUGCUUUUAUGAGUGAAGAAUAUGACGGUAACUCAUGAAUAAGCACCGGCUAACUACGUG